rnacentral:tRNA from 1 species
GCGGGUAUAGUUUAGUGGUAAAACCCUAGCCUUCCAAGCUAAUGAUGCGGGUUCGACUCCCGCUACCCGCC